rnacentral:rRNA from 1 species
GGGAACAUACCCUUUUCUACGGAAUAGCUCUGGGAAACUGGAAUUAAUACCGUAUACGCCCUACGGGGGAAAGAUUUAUCGGGGAAGGAUUGGCCCGCGUUGGAUUAGCUAGUUGGUGGGGUAAAGGCCUACCAAGGCGACGAUCCAUAGCUGGUCUGAGAGGAUGAUCAGCCACAUUGGGACUGAGACACGGCCCAAACUCCUACGGGAGGCAGCAGUGGGGAAUAUUGGACAAUGGGCGCAAGCCUGAUCCAGCCAUGCCGCGUGAGUGAUGAAGGCCUUAGGGUUGUAAAGCUCUUUCACCGAUGAAGAUAAUGACGGUAGUCGGAGAAGAAGCCCCGGCUAACUUCGUGCCAGCAGCCGCGGUAAUACGAAGGGGGCUAGCGUUGUUCGGAAUUACUGGGCGUAAAGCGCACGUAGGCGGAUAUUUAAGUCAGGGGUGAAAUCCCAGAGCUCAACUCUGGAACUGCCUUUGAUACUGAGUAUCUUGAGUAUGGAAGAGGUAAGUGGAAUUGCGAGU